AUUGAACGCUGGCGGCAUGCUUUACACAUGCAAGUCGAACGGUAACAGCACUUCGGUGGCUGACGAGUGGCGCACGGGUGAGUAAUACAUCGGAACGUGCCUAGUAGUGGGGGAUAACUACUCGAAAGAGUAGCUAAUACCGCAUGAGAUCUAAGGAUGAAAGCAGGGGACCUGCGGGCAUUGCGCUACUAGAGCGGCUGAUGGCAUAUUAGGUAGUCUGUGGGAGAAAAGCAUACCAAGCCGACGAUCUGGAGCGGGUCUGAGAGGACGACCAGCCACACUAGGACUGAGACACCGCCCAUACUCCUACGGGAGGCACCAGUGUGGUAUUUUGGACAAUGGGCGCAAGCCUGAUCCAACAAUGCCGCGUGCAGUAUGACGGCCUUCGGUUUGUAAACUGCUCUUUUGCGUAACGAAAAGCCCUCUCCUAUUACAGGGGGUUCAUGACGGUACCGUAAGAAUAAGCACCGGCUAACUACGUG
rnacentral:rRNA from 1 species